AACUAGAUGGCCGAAAAUAGGCAAUGGAAUUUUAAACCAUUUUAUAGUAAAUUAAUACCUACUUCUAGUGA
rnacentral:tRNA from 1 species